AGCAAGGACACAUUUUCCCUUGGGCAGAU
rnacentral:piRNA from 1 species